GACGAACCGAGCGAACGUUGUUCGGAAUCACUGGGCUUAAAGGGCGCGUAGGCGGGUGCUCAAGUCUGUGGUGAAAUCCUCCAGCUUAACUGGAGAACUGCCAUGGAUACUGGGUGUCUCGAGGAACGUAGGGGUAUGCGGAACGAUUGGUGGAGCGGUGAAAUGCGUUGAUAUCUGGAGGAAUACCGGUGGCGAAGGCGGCAUCCUGGACCGGCAUUGACGCUGAGGAGCGAAAGCCAGGGGAGCAAACGGG
rnacentral:rRNA from 1 species